UGGUGUGGGGUUUGGAUCUCAG
rnacentral:miRNA from 1 species